rnacentral:rRNA from 1 species
UACGGAGGGGGCCAGCGUUGUUCGGAAGUCAUUGGGCGUAAAGGGCGCGUAGGCGGCCACGCAAGUCGGAUGUGAAAUCCCUCGGCUCAACCGAGGAACUGCAUCCGAAACUGCGAGGCUCGAGUCCUGGAGAGGGUAGUGGAAUUCCCAGUGUAGCGGUGAAAUGCGUAGAUACUGGGAGGAACACCGGUGGCGAAGGCGGCUACCUGGACAGGUACUGACGCUGAGGCGCGAAAGCCAGGGGAGCAAACAGG